GUGAAAUCGGAGCUGUUUCACCCUAAUUGCAUCCUGCAGCAAGGAGGGAUUCACGGACACAUCCAAAGCAGGGCAGAAAGGAGAGGCAGAAAGAGCCGAGGGUCACAGUGGGGAGGGGGAACAGCAAGAGAAGCAGAAAAUCCCAGUUCUCAGCAGUGGCCAUUCCUAUUUCAGCCCAGGGGCUCCAGACCCUUCCCUGGCUCCGGUGACGCCCCGUGGAAGGAGGAGGAGAGAUGGGGACCCCACUACUGCCCCCCGCCACCCCCCUGGGGUGACAGAGAAGAAUUCCAAGGGCCUGAGGACGGCUUUGGGGACAGCUGGCACCUGGAUGUGUUCCCUGAUUCCUGGCCCGGAUUCCCCGAGGAGGAGCAGCCCCCACCCUGGCCCCCCGCCGGCCCUCCACGGAAUCCAGGAGCUUUCCCGGAACACCGCCCGCCCUGGAGCCAUCACCCGGCUGGGAGACGCCGCCUCCGCAGGAGCCACCACCGGCAGCUGACCGUGGUCCCCCGGGCGUGGUGUCCCCCAGCCCCCCGAGGGCACAAGCAGCACUCCAAGCCCUCUCCUGCCGUCUCCAACACGAGCCAGCCAGCGGCCAAGAAGGAGCCGCAGCCCCCGGAUCCUGCCCAGCCCCCUGCUCCCCUCCAAGGUGCUGCGGAGACGCCGGAACAGCCGCAGGAUGUGCCAGUGGGGACUGGGAAUGUCCUGGAGCCCCCCAGUCCGGCUGGGAGCCCUCUGGAGAGCCCAGCUGCCGAUGCCGGUGCUGCGGAGCCGCCGGUUGAGCUGGAAGCUGGGCAGACCCCUGUGGGUGACCAGGAUCAGGAUCCCUGUGCUUUGGGGACAGAUCCAACCCCUCCAGAGGAGACCUCCAGCUGUCCCGAGAUCCAGGAGCACCUUGAGGUAGAGCCGUGCAGUCCCGGUGUCCCCAAGGCUGGCACCGCUCAUGGGUCACAUCCCCAGAGCCCAGCAGCCCCUCCACACCCUGCCAGGAGGGAACUCCUGGAAUCCAGCUCCUCUGGAGAGGCAGGGGCUGAGCUCAGCCCACAUUCCUGGGAGCAGCCGCCACGUGGAGCUGGAGAAGCCGAGGCAGAAGCUGCCCAGAAUGGGCCUCUGCAGAGCCCUCAGCCGCCCAAAAACCCUCAGGUCCCUCCAGCAUCUGCAGCAGAACCUGAGGUCCAGCCCAGCCAGGCUUCCCCUGGUGCCUGCACCACACCAGAGACCUCUGCAGGGCCCCAGCACCCGCCUGGGUCCGGUGAGACAAAGCCGGCUGUGUCUGGCCAGCAGCAGCACUGCUCCACGCUCCCCACACCAUUCCCGGCCGGCGUCGACUUACGCUCUGCCACCGUCCUCGCCAAGAAGGCAGAGAUCGAGCAGUCGUACCAGCAGUUCAGCCUGACCAUCGCCGUGGUGGCCACGAUGCUGCUGCAGAAGGAGCCGUCGAUGGAGGCAGCGCUGGGGCUGGCGCUCAGGGCCAACCUCCGCCAGUGCCGCCUCUACCACCUGCAGCAGCUGGAGGAGUUCAUCGACACCAUCGACUCGGCCACCGCCAGCCUCUGAUGGCAGCCACCCCCUCCUGCCAGCUGGGUGAGGGUGGUGGGGGCUGUGACAGGGCUGUGACAGCACUUUGGGGUGCUCAGGAGGGUGCUGAGCCUGCGGGACAAGCUGGGAGGUGUUGGCAGCCCCACUCGACCUCUUGGAAGAGGGAGGGUGAGCAGGACAUGUUUGGUUUUAGCCCUGCCCAGAUUUCUGAGGGCAGCAAAAGUUUUACUGUGGGGUGAUGGGAGGGAGGGCAGCAGUGCCUCUCCUCCAUUCCUGCUUGCCAGGGAUGUGUCCCCAAACCCCAGUGAGUGUUUUUGGGUUUAAAUCUGAAAUUAAACCGUGUUUUCUUUGCAGCCCUUGCUCGGCCAUUGUUCUGUUCCCGCUCUCCUGGGGCUGUAGGGGAGGGGUCCCACAGCGAACCCCGGCUGUGGCAGAGGGCAGAGGCCACCCCUGGGGACCUCCCUGCCCCGGUGACAUUGUCAGUGUCACAAUGGGCUGGGAAGGAACAGGACAGACCCUGCAUUCAGAUGUCAGCCAAACUUUAUUGGAGCUUCGUCAUCGGCAGCAGCAGAGCUGUGCCCCAGGUCCCCUCCCCGCGGUGGCAGCGGUGCCACCAGGGAUGGAGAGCAGGUGGCAGUGGGGCACAGAGGAGUCCAGGGAAGGAUCCCACCCAGCAGUGGGGAGAUGCAGGCAGCUGCCCUUGUCUGGAGUUCCGGCCGCUCUCCCUGGAGCUGCCGCCUUGUCGGAGGCGCUGGAGCCCCGGCCCGGCCGCCGGCCCCGCUCCCUUCCUGCUUUACCUGUUCCUAAUUGCGGGAGAGGCUGGCAGGAAUUGCAGGCUCUGCUCUGCCAACAGCCGCCGGGGGGGAAAAGAUCCCAGCAGCUUCUCCCACCAGCCUUGGGCCGCGUCCAGGACACACUUGGAACGUGUUGAGGCUGUGGCAGGACCUGGCAGGACCUGGCAGUGCCACUC
rnacentral:lncRNA from 1 species